AGUGAACGCUGGCGGUAGGCCUAACACAUGCAAGUCGAACGGCAGCACAGUAAGAGCUUGCUCUUACGGGUGGCGAGUGGCGGACGGGUGAGGAAUACAUCGGAAUCUACUUUUUCGUGGGGGAUAACGUAGGGAAACUUACGCUAAUACCGCAUACGACCUACGGGUGAAAGCAGGGGAUCUUCGGACCUUGCGCGAUUGAAUGAGCCGAUGUCGGAUUAGCUAGUUGGCGGGGUAAAGGCCCACCAAGGCGACGAUCCGUAGCUGGUCUGAGAGGAUGAUCAGCCACACUGGAACUGAGACACGGUCCAUACUCCUACGGGAGGCAGCAGUGGGGAAUAUUGGACAGUGGGCGCAAGCCUGGUCCAGCCAUACCGCGUGGGUGAAGAAGGCCUUCGGGUUGUAAAGCCCUUUUGUUGGGAAAGAAAAGCAGCAGGUUAAGACCCCGCUGUUCUGACGGUACCCAAAGAAUAAGCACCGGCUAACUUCGUG
rnacentral:rRNA from 1 species